rnacentral:RNase_P_RNA from 1 species
UAGGUACAAUAGGUAGUUGCUGGUAUCCCCAUUUUGGGUUACGAGAGGAAAGUCCGUGCUACAUGUGAGACGGGACUCCACCUAACGGGUGGCCAGAGUAAUCUGAGGGCAAGUGCAACAGAGAGAAGACAGCUACCAUAGGGUAGCAAUAGGUGAAACGGUGGUGUAAGAGACCACCAGUAUCUAUGGUAACAUAGGUAGCUAGGUAAACCCAGUCCGUAGCAAGAGACACAUGGUAAAGAGUCUCACACUAAAUUAGUGUCUCGCUCGAGCGUUAUGGUGACAUAACGCCUAGAUAAAUAACUACCCACGACAGAACACGGCUUAUCGUUGUGCCUUCCAU